AUUGAACGCUGGCGGCAUGCCUUACACAUGCAAGUCGAACGGUAACAGGUCUUCGGAUGCUGACGAGUGGCGAACGGGUGAGUAAUACAUCGGAACGUGCCCGAGAGUGGGGGAUAACGAAGCGAAAGCUUUGCUAAUACCACAUACGAUCUCAGGGUGAAAGCAGGGGACCGCAAGGCCUUGCGCUCACGGAGCGGCCGAUGGCAGAUUAGGUAGUUGGUGGGAUAAAAGCUUACCAAGCCGACGAUCUGUAGCUGGUCUGAGAGGACGACCAGCCACACUGGGACUGAGACACGGCCCAGACUCCUACGGGAGGCAGCAGUGGGGAAUUUUGGACAAUGGGCGCAAGCCUGAUCCAGCCAUGCCGCGUGCAGGAUGAAGGCCUUCGGGUUGUAAACUGCUUUUGUACGGAACGAAAAGACUCUGGUUAAUACCUGGGGUCCAUGACGGUACCGUAAGAAUAAGCACCGGCUAACUACGUGCCAGCCGCCGCGGUAA
rnacentral:rRNA from 1 species